UGAAUAGAAGGCAUUAAUUUACAUCAUAUCUGCUUGCCAGAAAUGGUGCAGUGUGCCUACAAGCAUGGAUUGGCGAAUUCAUGCAAAAUGUCAUUUGGCAUGCAAUACAUGUUAUUACACUGUUGAACUUUGGAUCAUACCAUGAUAAAGCUUCCAAGUAAUCUUUUACUUUGUUAGAAUGACUACAGCAAUAUCCAUUGA
rnacentral:misc_RNA from 1 species